AAGUCGUAACAAGGUUUCCGUAGGUGAACCUGCGGAAGGAUCAUUAAUGAAAGAUAAUUUUUUGGGGUUUUCCCUGAAAAAUAAUUCACCCAUUGUGCACUGUUAUUAGAUAUACUUUGGUUAGAGCUUUGAUUUCAUUUUUUUUGAAGUCAACUUCUUGCUGACUCUAUCCUUUCUGAGGACGGUUGGCUAUGAAGCGGCCUACCAAGGUUUUUUAUCAAACACAUUUAAUUCAUCUGACCUAAACUAUUAUAAUUAAAUCAUAACUUUCAACAACGGAUCUCUUGGCUCUC
rnacentral:misc_RNA from 1 species